GGCGAACGCUGGCGGCGUGCUUAACACAUGCAAGUCGAACGGAAAGGCCCUGCUUUUGUGGGGUGCUCGAGUGGCGAACGGGUGAGUAACACGUGAGUAACCUGCCCUAGACUUUGGGAUAACUUCAGGAAACUGGGGCUAAUACCGGAUAGGAGCUCCUGCUGCAUGGUGGGGGUUGGAAAGUUUCGGCGGUUGGGGAUGGACUCGCGGCUUAUCAGCUUGUUGGUGGGGUAGUGGCUUACCAAGGCUUUGACGGGUAGCCGGCCUGAGAGGGUGACCGGCCACAUUGGGACUGAGAUACGGCCCAGACUCCUACGGGAGGCAGCAGUGGGGAAUAUUGCACAAUGGGCGGAAGCCUGAUGCAGCAACGCCGCGUGCGGGAUGACGGCCUUCGGGUUGUAAACCGCUUUCGCCUGUGACGAAGCGUGAGUGACGGUAAUGGGUAAAGAAGCACCGGCUAACUACGUG
rnacentral:rRNA from 1 species